AGGGUUUGAUCCUGGCUCAGAACGAACGCUGGCGGCGUGGCUAAGGCAUGCAAGUCGAACGCAGCAACCUCUUUGGGCAACUGAAGAGGAUGUUCAGUGGCGAACGGGUGAGUAAUGCAUAGGUAACGUACCCCGGAGACGGGUAUAGCGGCGGUGUCCCGCAAGGGGCAUCUACCGAAAGGGCCGGUAAUACCCGAUGAUGUCCUCGAGUCGCAUGGCUUGAGGAUCAAGCGGUCCGCAAGGUCUGCUCUGGGAUCGGCCUAUGUCCUAUCAGCUAGUUGGUGAGGUAACGGCCCACCAAGGCUGCGACGGGUAGCUGGCCUGAGAGGGUGGCCAGCCACAUCGGGACUGAGACACUGCCCGGACCUCCACGGAGGGCUGCAGCAACGAAUCUUCCGCAAUGGGCGCAAGCCUGACGGAGCGACGCCGCGUGCGGGAUGAAGCGGCUAUGCCGUGUAAACCGCUGUCAGGGGUAGGAAAGUCCCCUUCGGGGGAUUGAUCUAACCCAGAGGAAGGCACGGCUAACUCUGUGCCAGCAGCCGCGUAAGACAGAGGCGCCAAGCGUUGUUCGGAUUUACUGGGCCUAGAGCGCAGGUAGGCGGGCGGAUGUGUCGGAUGUGAAAUCUCGUGGCUCAACCGCGAAACGGCAUCCGAAACUAUUCGUCUUGAGGCAGGUAGAGGCUCGUGGAAUUCCCGGUGGAGCGGUGAAAUGCGUAGAUAUCGGGAAGAAUGCCGGAGGUGAAAACGACGAGCUGGGCCUGUCCUGGCGCUGAGCUGCGAAAGCCAGGGGAGCGAACGGGAUUAGAUACCCCGGUAGUCCUGGCCGUAAACGAUGUCCACUGGAUCUUGGGGGUACUGACGCUUCCAGGAUCGUAGCGAAGGCGUUAAGUGGACCGCCUGGGGAGUACGGUCGCAAGGCUAAAACUCAAAGGAAUUGACGGGGGCUCACACAAGCGGUGGAGCAUGUGGCUCAAUUCGAGGCUACGCGAAGAACCUUACCUAGGUUUGACAUGUACGAAGGGUGCUCCUGAAAGGGAGUUACCUGCCCGCAAGGGUGAAACGUGCACAGGUGCUGCAUGGCUGUCGUCAGCUCGUGCUGUGAAGUGUUGGGUUAAGUCCCCUAACGAGCGAAACCCCUGCCUCUAGUUGCCAGCGGGUAAUGCCGGGCACUCUAGUGGGACUGCCGGCGUUAAGCCGGAGGAAGGUGGGGACGACGUCAAGUCAUCAUGGCCUUUAUGCCUAGGGCUGCACACGUGCUACAAUGGUGCGUACAAUGCGAUGCGAAGCCGUGAGGCGGAGCAAAUCGCAAAAAACGCACCCCAGUUCAGAUUGCAGGCUGCAACCCGCCUGCAUGAAGUCGGAAUCGCUAGUAAUCGCGUAUCAGCUACGACGCGGUGAAUGUGUUCCUGAGCCUUGUACACACCGCCCGUCAAGCCAUGGGAGCUGGGACCACCUUAAAUCCGCUUAGCUAACCGCAAGGAGGCGGCGGCCUAAGGUGUGCUCGGUGACUGGGGCUAAGUCGAACAAGGUA
rnacentral:rRNA from 1 species